ACGCCAGUCUGCGUGGAGCCGACCUUGAAAUACCACCCUUUAAUGUUUGAUGUUCUAACGUGGACCCGUAAUCCGGGUUGCGGACAGUGUCUGGUGGGUAGUUUGACUGGGGCGGUCUCCUCCUAAAGAGUAACGGAGGAGCACGAAGGUUGGCUAAUCCUGGUCGGACAUCAGGAGGUUAGUGCAAUGGCAUAAGCCAGCUUGACUGCGAGCGUGACGGCGCGAGCAGGUGCGAAAGCAGGUCAUAGUGAUCCGGUGGUUCUGAAUGGAAGGGCCAUCGCUCAACGGAUAAAAGGUACUCCGGGGAUAACAGGCUGAUACCGCCCAAGAGUUCAUAUCGACGGCGGUGUUUGGCACCUCGAUGUCGGCUCAUCACAUCCUGGGGCUGAAGUAGGUCCCAAGGGUAUGGCUGUUCGCCAUUUAAAGUGGUACGCGAGCUGGGUUUAGAACGUCGUGAGACAGUUCGGUCCCUAUCUGCCGUGGGCGCUGGAGAACUGAGGGGGGCUGCUCCUAGUACGAGAGGACCGGAGUGGACGCAUCACUGGUGUUCGGGUUGUCAUGCCAAUGGCACUGCCCGGUAGCUAAAUGCGGAAGAGAUAAGUGCUGAAAGCAUCUAAGCACGAAACUUGCCCCGAGAUGAGUUCUCCCUGAGACUUAAAGUCUCCUGAAGGA
rnacentral:rRNA from 1 species